rnacentral:lncRNA from 1 species
AACUUGAUGCUUGCAUUCCAUGAUUAGGUAUAAUUCAUAUUUCUAUAUAUAUAUUUUUUAUGAAUUCAUAUUUUUGAAUAAGUAUAAUUUUAAACAUAUUUCACAUUAUAUUAAGUGUUUAAAUUUAAGCAUGAACAUAAUGAAAAAAUAUGGUUUCAAAAAUAUUUUUUAUAGAAUAAAGACAAAAUAAUCUAGAGCCUUAGAUUUGAGAAGGAUAAGAUUGAAUUUUUACUUUUUCAAUGUUGCCUCAGCCUUGAUUCAAAUUAAUAUUUUAAAUAGGAUGAGCGGCUAUUUUAGAUCGAAGAAGACUUCGAAGGGCCAAAGGUCCGAAUCGUCUGAGGGAACCUCUAGCAACCCCCAAACGACGUUUCAGAGCCAGAUGACAGCCAGACGUGCGAGCCUUCUGGAGAUGGCGCAGAGGCAGCCGGAGGUGCCCCUAUCAUCGAGGCAGGCGGCCGUCCCUCAUUCCUCGAGGCAAUUGUGGCCUCAGACCCAGACGGAGGUGUCUGCACCCCGUAUGCCUGAGAUACACCGGGCGCCCACUCCGGGUCCUACUUCUUCGGAUAGUGGGUCAUCUGGGGUAUAGAUGCCGCCGCCUCAUCUGUUCCUUCCGCGGAUGAUACCGGCCUUACCUGUAGUCGAUGGCUCAGGGACGCCGAUUUAUCCACUGCCCCCGCCAGUGGCUCCAUCAGCGGCGUACCGGUUCGUGCCUUUUGAUACGCCUCUUAUUUCCGCGAGGGUAUCAUCAUCGGCGACAGAGACGGAAUCCGUCGCGUCCGCCGCGAGCGCCUCAGGUAAUCAGUGAUGCAUGAUUACUUUUCUUAUAAUUAAUAAUAAAGGGUCUCCGAUUUUAAUAAUCAAUUUGGUUUAUCAUGUGAUAGGCACCGUCGGAGCGAAUUCGACAAAGAAGAAGAGAGGCCCCGUCACAGGGAAGGCUCUCAAGAAGAUCGUGGGUACCGUGGGGAGGAUCGUCAUCAAUACUGACGGGGAUGGCCACAUAGUAUCGGGCGGGAAGUCGAGGACGUACUCCUGCCGCGUGGGAGCGCUCAUUAGGGAUAG